rnacentral:rRNA from 1 species
GAUUAACGCUAGCGGCAGGCCUAAUACAUGCAAGUCGAACGGUAAAUGGGUAGCAAUAUCUAUGAGAGUGGCGCACGGGUGAGUAACGCGUAUGCAACCUACCUUUAACUGGGGGAUAGCUCAGAGAAAUCUGAAUUAAUACCGCAUAAAAUUAUUAAAUGGCAUCAUUUGAUAAUCAAAACUCCGGUGGUUAAAGAUGGGCAUGCGUGACAUUAGCUAGUUGGUGAGGUAACGGCUCACCAAGGCGACGAUGUCUAGGGGGUCUGAGAGGAUGAUC